rnacentral:rRNA from 1 species
UACGUAGGUGGCAAGCGUUGUCCGGAUUUACUGGGCGUAAAGAGCGCGCAGGCGGCUGAUCAAGUCCGAUGUGAAAUCUCCCGGCUUAACUGGGAAACUGCAUCGGAAACUGAUCGGCUUGAAGGUGGGAGAGGGUAGUGGAAUUCCCGGUGUAGUGGUGAAAUGCGUAGAUAUCGGGAGGAACACCAGUGGCGAAGGCGACUACCUGGCCCAUUCUUGACGCUGAGGCGCGAAAGCUAGGGGAGCGAACGGG